rnacentral:rRNA from 1 species
UACUCCCGCCGGCGACCGGCGCACGGGUGAGUAACACGUAUGAAACCUGCCCGUGGCAGGGGGAUAAGCGGAAGAAAUUCCGUCUAAUACCGCGUAACAACCCGAGGAGGCAUCUCCUCGGGUUUAAAGGAAGCGAUUCCGGCUACGGAUGGUCAUGCGUCGCAUUAGCUAGUUGGCGGGGUAACGGCCCACCAAGGCGACGAUGCGUAGGGGUUCUGAGAGGAAGGUCCCCCACACUGGUACUGAGACACGGACCAGACUCCUACGGAAGGCAGCAG